rfam:Rattus norvegicus chromosome 13, whole genome shotgun sequence.
GGGGAUUUAGCUCAGUGGUAGAGCGCUUGCCUAGGGAGCGCAAGGCCCUGGGUUCGGUCCCCAGCUCCG